UGCGUGGUACUACAUGUACAGGAGAGGUGGGAGGCUUGGAAAACAGGACGACAGGUUUGGCGGAGCCAUCCUUGGGAUACCACCCUUGUAGUACUGGGACUCUAACCAUAGGCCAUGAAGCUGGUCUUGGGACACUGUCAGGUGGGCAGGUUGACUGGGGCGGUCGCCUCCCAAAAGGUAACGGAGGCGCUCAAAGGUUCUCUCAGUACGGUCGGAAAUCGUACGUAGAGUGUAAAGGCAAAAGAGAGCUUGAUUGCAAGACAUACAGGUCGAGCAAGGAUGAAAAUCGGACUUAGUGAUCCGGUGGUUCUGCGUGGAAGGGCCAUCGCUCAACGGAUAAAAGCUACCCUGGG
rnacentral:rRNA from 1 species